GUAGCUUUGCACCUAGAAUAUCUGGUGAACAUUUUCCAAGGUUUAGAUGUAAAUGUGUUUAAAGCGUUCACUGAGACAAAAGCAUUUCAUCAAAAAUGUGAAGAUGAUAAAGCAUGCAGCAUGUGGGAUCUUAGUUCCCCAACCAGGGAUCAAACCUGUGCUCUCUGUAUUGGAAGCAUGGAGUCUUAACCACUGGACCACCAGGGAAGUCCCUUUGAGAUUCUUGAUUCUUCUGCACAAGACACUGCAGUGACAUGGACAGAUGGAAGUGGACUUCCUGCCACUGCAGGUUGUGGGUCCCUGUGAUGAGAGUAACCAAGGGAGGAGAAAAAACCCGGCCUUCCACCCGCUAAACAAGGAGCUGCAGCCAUGGAGAGACACUGAAAAAAGUCAUCAAGAGCUAUAGAGGCAGCAAGGAGCAGACAGAUGCCAGCACUGAUGGCUUGGGAGAUGCACUCACUGUGCCACGUUCUUUGGGUGGUGUGCUGGUGCCGUUCUUACUGGCUCAGUUUCCCGCGGAGCUACAGUGCGGUCCCCUGGUGGGGCUCUGAGACUUCAGUUCUCCAGUUCUCAUCCAUGUGCUUAGCUGGCAUUCACCAGAUCACUCUAGGGGUGGCAAGCUCUGAAUCCAACAUGGCUUCCAGACUCCCCUUUGCUUUCUAGCCGGUCUCUUUUCAUUUGCAUCUCACCAGGUGCCCCUGACUUCAAGUCUCAGGGAGCCACUAAAUUUAAGGUCCAAAUACCUUUAUACACAGGAGACACCUCUCCCUCCGCCCACCCCAGGGCAACUUGUACAAUUUGGUUGACCCCCUCUGAGACUGACUGACUUAAGGGAAAAGCAACAUUUUUUUAAACACACACACUCACACACACAUACACACACACACACACACACACACACACACACACACACACACACUCACACACACUCGAAAACAAAACAAAAACCAUGCCCCAUUGUACUGUUUUCCCGGGGUAAUGGGCAUCAGCUCCCCUUACCUGCACACAGCUAUCACACAGUUCCAGUGACUGCUGUCUGAACCUACCCCACACCACACAUUCUGUUCACCAGCAGGCAGAAGCUCCAGAAGAUUCUUUCUGUCUAAAGAGGCGAUUACAAACCUUUUGGCCAUUGGGAACCCUUUCCUACACCAAAGAAAAGCUUCCCACAACAGAUGUUAGGACGAGCCACGGGGCCACCAAGACUUCAUGGAGCAUAUUGAAAGUUUCUUUGUGGACUGAUUUCAGAAGUCUGAUGAAUGUAGUUUUCUGCCCUGGGCAGAGAGAAAAUGAAGCUGAAAUCUACUAUAGAUACAAACAUCUACAUAAAACGAACAGUCCCAACACCAGUCCUCAGCAAGAGCAGGAAAAUAUCACAGAAAAUCGAGAGUGUCCUGAAGGGUAACUAUGAUGAGCACAGCAGAUUUAGCAAAUAAAAACACAAACUAUCCAGUUAAAUUUGAAUUUCAUGUAAACAACCAAUCAUUUUUAGGAUAAGCAUAUCACCUGCAAUACUUGGGACAUACAUUCUCUAAAAAAUGAUUGGCUGUUUAUCUGAAAUUCAAAUUUAAUUGAGCAUCUUGUAUUUUAUCCACCAAUCCUAGUUUUGAAGAAUAACUAUGAUCAGAAGUAAAUCCAAGUCCUAAGAAAGCAAAAGUCAAAGGUACUUCACAGGUCAACAGUUAAAAUUCAUCUGGCUACUAAACACUGACCAAACUUUUAAAAUUUUUAAAGCAGUGAUCCUUUAAGCCUGACUACACACUGGAAUUACGUGAGAAUUUCUAAAAAUAUAGAUAUAUAGAUGUGCAUGUCUGUCCUUGAGGAUUCAUACUAAACUGAAUUCAUAUCAAUUCACAUUAAAGCAUUCAAUUUUAAGAAUUAAUAAUAUUUCUAUGAAAUAGGAGAUGCUAAUGUUCAGAGUUGAGGACCAUUGUCUUAAAGUGAAGAGUUGUCUGUACCUGCCUACUCAGCUGAAAACUUUUCUGAAGUGAUGAAGGAAAUAAGGCUGAUGCAUUUUAGUUGCAAUUAUUAAUAUAGGCUUCUUUAAACUUGUAACUCACAGUGAGUUCACACUGACGAUAGCCCUCAAUAUACUGAGGGAAAUUUGGCAAAGAGAUAGAUCAAUUUACUAGCAGUUCACAAUAAACUGGAAAAUUCUGAAGGAGAUGGAAUACCAGACCACCUGACCUGCCUCUUGAGAAACCUGUAUGCUGGUCAGGAGGCAACAGUUAGAACUGGACAU